GUAGGGAAUCUUCCGCAAUGGACGAAAGUCUGACGGAGCGACACCGCGUGAAGGAUGAAGGUUUUCGGAUUGUAAACUUCUUUUCUGGGGGAACAGGAUGAGUGUACCCUAGGAAUAAGCCCCGGCUAACUACGUGCCAGCAGCCGCGGUAAUACGUAGGGGGCAGGCGUUAUCCGGAAUCACUGGGCGUAAAGCGUCCGCAGGUGGAAAAAUAAGUCAUAUAUAAAAUCCCGAUGCUCAACAUCGGACUCGUAUGUGAAACUAUUUUUCUAGAGGAUGGGAGAGGCAAGUAGAAUUCCCGGUGUAGGGGUUAAAUCCGUAGAUAUCGGGAGGAAUACCAAAAGCGAAGGCAGCUUGCUGGAACAUUCCUGACACUCAUGGACGAAAGCGUGGGGAGCGAAAAGGAUUAGAAACCCUUGUAGUCC
rnacentral:rRNA from 1 species